GAGUGCGGCCCCUGGAGAAGCAAGGACCGUUCGAAUCCAGGAGACUGUGGCAACACGUAACGGAGUCUCUGCGGGAUGGAGACAUCGAUAAGGCGACAGAGCACAAGAGAGCCCUGGA